GGUGAGCCGAGACUGUUUCAGGGAGACACGAGAGGGUGAGAGCGUUUUGGGAUCUAGUUAGUAUGAGGUGAGCCGAGACUGUUUCAGGGAGACACGAGAGGGUGAGAGCGUUUUGGGAUCUAGUUAGUAUGAGGUGAGCCGAGACUGUUUCAGGGAGACACGAGAGGGUGAGAGCGUUUUGGGAUCUAGUUAGUAUGAGGUGAGCCGAGACUGUUUCAGGGAGACACGAGAGGGUGAGAGCGUUUUGGGAUCUAGUUAGUAUGAGGUGAGCCGAGACUGUUUCAGGGAGACACGAGAGGGUGAGAGCGUUUUGGGAUCUAGUUAGUAUGAGGUGAGCCGAGACUGUUUCAGGGAGACACGAGAGGGUGAGAGCGUUUUGGGAUCUAGUUAGUAUGAGGUGAGCCGAGACUGUUUCAGGGAGACACGAGAGGGUGAGAGCGUUUUGGGAUCUAGUUAGUAUGAGGUGAGCCGAGACUGUUUCAGGGAGACACGAGAGGGUGAGAGCGUUUUGGGAUCUAGUUAGUAUGAGGUGAGCCGAGACUGUUUCAGGGAGACACGAGAGGGUGAGAGCGUUUUGGGAUCUAGUUAGUAUGAGGUGAGCCGAGACUGUUUCAGGGAGACACGAGAGGGUGAGAGCGUUUUGGGAUCUAGUUAGUAUGAGGUGAGCCGAGACUGUUUCAGGGAGACACGAGAGGGUGAGAGCGUUUUGGGAUCUAGUUAGUAUGAGGUGAGCCGAGACUGUUUCAGGGAGACACGAGAGGGUGAGAGCGUUUUGGGAUCUAGUUAGUAUGAGGUGAGCCGAGACUGUUUCAGGGAGACACGAGAGGGUGAGAGCGUUUUGGGAUCUAGUUAGUAUGAGGUGAGCCGAGACUGUUUCAGGGAGACACGAGAGGGUGAGAGCGUUUUGGGAUCUAGUUAGUAUGAGGUGAGCCGAGACUGUUUCAGGGAGACACGAGAGGGUGAGAGCGUUUUGGGAUCUAGUUAGUAUGAGGUGAGCCGAGACUGUUUCAGGGAGACACGAGAGGGUGAGAGCGUUUUGGGAUCUAGUUAGUAUGAGGUGAGCCGAGACUGUUUCAGGGAGACACGAGAGGGUGAGAGCGUUUUGGGAUCUAGUUAGUAUGAGGUGAGCCGAGACUGUUUCAGGGAGACACGAGAGGGUGAGAGCGUUUUGGGAUCUAGUUAGUAUGAGGUGAGCCGAGACUGUUUCAGGGAGACACGAGAGGGUGAGAGCGUUUUGGGAUCUAGUUAGUAUGAGGUGAGCCGAGACUGUUUCAGGGAGACACGAGAGGGUGAGAGCGUUUUGGGAUCUAGUUAGUAUGAGGUGAGCCGAGACUG